AGAGUUUGAUCCUGGCUCAGGACGAACGCUGGCGGCGUGCUUAACACAUGCAAGUCGAGCGAUGAAGCUUCCUUCGGGAAGUGGAUUAGCGGCGGACGGGUGAGUAACACGUGGGUAACCUGCCUCAAAGUGGGGGAUAGCCUUCCGAAAGGAAGAUUAAUACCGCAUAAUAUAAGAGAAUCGCAUGAUUUUCUUAUCAAAGAUUUAUUGCUUUGAGAUGGGCCCGCGGCGCAUUAGCUAGUUGGUAAGGUAACGGCUUACCAAGGCAACGAUGCGUAGCCGACCUGAGAGGGUGAUCGGCCACAUUGGAACUGAGACACGGUCCAGACUCCUACGGGAGGCAGCAGUGGGGAAUAUUGCGCAAUGGGGGAAACCCUGACGCAGCAACGCCGCGUGGGUGAUGAAGGUCUUCGGAUUGUAAAGCCCUGUUUUCUAGGACGAUAAUGACGGUACUAGAGGAGGAAGCCACGGCUAACUACGUGCCAGCAGCCGCGGUAAUACGUAGGUGGCGAGCGUUGUCCGGAUUUACUGGGCGUAAAGGGUGCGUAGGCGGAUGUUUAAGUGGGAUGUGAAAUCCCCGGGCUUAACCUGGGGGCUGCAUUCCAAACUGGAUAUCUAGAGUGCAGGAGAGGAAAGCGGAAUUCCUAGUGUAGCGGUGAAAUGCGUAGAGAUUAGGAAGAACACCAGUGGCGAAGGCGGCUUUCUGGACUGUAACUGACGCUGAGGCACGAAAGCGUGGGUAGCAAACAGGAUUAGAUACCCUGGUAGUCCACGCCGUAAACGAUGGAUACUAGGUGUAGGGGGUAUCAACUCCCCCUGUGCCGCAGUUAACACAAUAAGUAUCCCGCCUGGGGAGUACGGUCGCAAGAUUAAAACUCAAAGGAAUUGACGGGGGCCCGCACAAGCAGCGGAGCAUGUGGUUUAAUUCGAAGCAACGCGAAGAACCUUACCUGGACUUGACAUCCCUUGCAUAGCCUAGAGAUAGGUGAAGCCCUUCGGGGCAAGGAGACAGGUGGUGCAUGGUUGUCGUCAGCUCGUGUCGUGAGAUGUUAGGUUAAGUCCUGCAACGAGCGCAACCCUUGUUAUUAGUUGCUACCAUUAAGUUGAGCACUCUAAUGAGACUGCCUGGGUAACCAGGAGGAAGGUGGGGAUGACGUCAAAUCAUCAUGCCCCUUAUGUCCAGGGCUACACACGUGCUACAAUGGUAGGUACAAUAAGACGCAAGACCGUGAGGUGGAGCAAAACUUAUAAAACCUAUCUCAGUUCGGAUUGUAGGCUGCAACUCGCCUACAUGAAGCUGGAGUUGCUAGUAAUCGCGAAUCAGAAUGUCGCGGUGAAUACGUUCCCGGGCCUUGUACACACCGCCCGUCACACCAUGAGAGCUGGUAACACCCGAAGUCCGUGAGGUAACCGUAAGGAACCAGCGGCCGAAGGUGGGAUUAGUGAUUGGGGUGAAGUCGUAACAAGGUAGCCGUAGGAGAACCUGCGGCUGGAUCACCUCC
rnacentral:rRNA from 1 species